AUAUCGCGAGGUGUCAGCCGCCGCGGUAAUACGUAGGGUGCGAGCGUUAAUCGGAAUUACUGGGCGUAAAGCGUGCGCAGGCGGUUAUAUAAGACAGAUGUGAAAUCCCCGGGCUCAACCUGGGAACUGCAUUUGUGACUGUAUAGCUAGAGUACGGCAGAGGGGGAUGGAAUUCCGCGUGUAGCAGUGAAAUGCGUAGAUAUGCGGAGGAACACCGAUGGCGAAGGCAAUCCCCUGGGCCUGUACUGACGCUCAUGCACGAAAGCGUGGGGAGCAAACAGGAUUAGAUACCCUGGUAGUCCACGCCCUAAACGAUGUCAACUGGUUGUUGGGUCUUCACUGACUCAGUAACGAAGCUAACGCGUGAAGUUGACCGCCUGGGGAGUACGGGCCGCAAGGUUGAAACUCAAAGGAAUUGGCGGG
rnacentral:rRNA from 1 species